AGUGAACGCUGGCGGUAGGCCUAACACAUGCAAGUCGAACGGCAGCACAGUAAGAGCUUGCUCUUACGGGUGGCGAGUGGCGGACGGGUGAGGAAUACAUCGGAAUCUACUUUUUCGUGGGGGAUAGCGUAGGGAAACUUACGCUAAUACCGCAUACGACCUACGGGUGAAAGCAGGGGAUCUUCGGACCUUGCGCGAUUGAAUGAGCCGAUGUCGGAUUAGCUAGUUGGCGGGGUAAAGGCCCACCAAGGCGACGAUCCGUAGCUGGUCUGAGAGGAUGAUCAGCCACACUGGAACUGAGACACGGUCCAGAAUCCUACGGGAGGCAGCAGUGGGGAAUAUUGGACAAUGGGCGCAAGCCUGAUCCAGCCAUACCGCGUGGGUGAAGAAGGCCUUCGGGUUGUAAAGCCCUUUUGUUGGGAAAGAAAAGCAGCAGGUUAAUACCCCGCUGUUCUGACGGUACCCAAAGAAUAAGCACCGGCUAACUUCGUG
rnacentral:rRNA from 1 species